GACGAACGCUGGCGGCGUGCCUAAUACAUGCAAGUAGAACGCAGUUGCGAACGGGUGAGUAACGCGUAGGUAACUGCCUGGUAGCGGGGGAUAACUAUUGGAAACGAUAGCUAAUACCGCAUACUACCAGAUUGCCCUUGUUUGUAUUUGAAGGUUGGUUAGGUAACGGCUCACCAAGGAAAUGAUACAUAGCCGCCCUGAGAGGGUGAUCGGCCACACUGGGACGGAGAAAGGGCCCAGACGCCUACGGGAGGCAGCAGUAGGGAAUCUUCGGCAAUGGGGGGAACCCUGACCGAGCAACGCCGCGUGAGUGAAGAAGGGUUUCGGAUCGGAAAGCGCUGUUGUUAAGGAAGCGGUACUUAACCAGAAAGGGACGGCUAACUACGUGCCAGCAGCCGCGGUAAUUC
rnacentral:rRNA from 1 species